GAUGAACGCUGGCGGCGUGCCUAAUACAUGCAAGUCGAGCGAACAGACGAGGAGCUUGCUCCUCUGACGUUAGCGGCGGACGGGUGAGUAACACGUGGAUAACCUACCUAUAAGACUGGGAUAACUUCGGGAAACCGGAGCUAAUACCGGAUAAUAUAUUGAACCGCAUGGUUCAAUAGUGAAAGACGGUUUUGCUGUCACUUAUAGAUGGAUCCGCGCCGCAUUAGCUAGUUGGUAAGGUAACGGCUUACCAAGGCAACGAUGCGUAGCCGACCUGAGGGGGUGAUCGGCCACACUGGAACUGAGACACGGUCCAGACUCCUACGGGAGGCAGCAGUAGGGAAUCUUCCGCAAUGGGCGAAAGCCUGACGGAGCAACGCCGCGUGAGUGAUGAAGGUCUUCGGAUCGUAAAACUCUGUUAUUUGGGAAGAACAAAUGUGUAAGUAACUAUGCACGUCUUGACGGUACCUAAUCAGAAAGCCACGGCUAACUACGUG
rnacentral:rRNA from 1 species